UCUUCACUAAAUGAAUUUUUAAAACCAUCAAGUAAUUUACCUCAAUUAUAGUCGUUGAGAAACACAUUUCCAUAUACAAUCCAAGAUCCAAAUUUUGCCUAAUUUGAAAGCUGCGUUUUUUAAAACAACAAGUGAAAAGACCAGUUUUAAAGUAAAUUGUAUGGCAAGUAUGGAAAUAUUAAUUAGUAAAUAUUUGCUACUAUAAUUUUGGCUAUUUGUUUUCAUCAUUAAAACUCUAUAUAAAUACGCAGUGUAUGCAACACAACUC
rnacentral:lncRNA from 1 species